UCCGGCUUAUCACCGGCAGUUUCUUUAGAGUGCCCAACUAAAUGGUAGCAACUAAAGACGAGGGUUGCGCUCGUUGCGGGACUUAACCCAACAUCUCACGACACGAGCUGACGGCAGCCAUGCAGCACCUGUCGAGGGACUCCGAAGAGGGGUCCUGGUUUCUCAGGACUUUCCCCUCGAUGUCAAGCCCAGGUAAGGUUCUUCGCGUUGCCUCGAAUUAAGCAACAUGCUCCGCCGCUUGUGCGGGCCCCCGUCAAUUCCUUUGAGUUUUAGUCUUGCGGCCGUACUCCCCAGGCGGGGUGCUUAAUGCGUUAGCUACGGCACGGAUCCCGUGGAAGGAAACCCACACCUAGCGCCCACCGUUUACGGCGUGGACUAC
rnacentral:misc_RNA from 1 species